GGACGUACUCUAGCUGAUUACAACAUUCAGAAAGAGUCAACUUUGCAUUUGGUUUUGAGGCUUCGUGGAGGGAUUAUUGAGCCUUCUCUGAUGGCUUUGGCAAGGAAGUAUAAUCAGGAGAAGAUGAUUUGCCGCAAGUGUUAUGCUCGCCUCCAUCCUCGUGCUGUGAACUGCAGGAAGAAAAAAUGUGGGCACAGCAACCAGCUGAGGCCAAAGAAGAAGAUCAAGU
rnacentral:misc_RNA from 1 species